GCGAGUUAUAGAGUGAAUGAAGAGAGGGAGCGGCUUUAGUGAGAACAAAGCAGAGAAUCAGAGAAAUAAAAGGCAAUUUUCUGAUUGUUUUACGGCGGUUACAUUGUAAAGCAAAAAUAUACACAGUUAACUCCGCACACCUCUGCGCAACCCUGUGGGAAGGUGCCAAGUUGCCGGAUUUUUAAUAAAAGCAGCCGAUGUGUGUGCCUCGCUCAAACUGACACACGGAUGGCAGCACACAGCAGAGGACAGUGAGAGAGGAACAGGGGAAACUCACAGCGAUGCAACAAACCCAUUCUCAUCCGUCAAAUACAGCUGUUUUGUAUCUGAGAUACAGAGAACAGAGCUAAAGGAGGACUUGUGCCUCGGUAUUAGACGUCAAUAGUGACAAAGCUGCGGUAUUUGACGACCGGGCCCGGCUGCACACCCACACAUGGGGCCAAAGGGCUUUUGGCUGAAGUCCAGCAGCGUCCCAAGUAAAGCAAAAUAAUAAGAAAAGAGAAAAUACUGGCAGAGGGCAGAUUUCUGCAGAAACAGACACCACUGUUUACUUCUAGUGGGUCAUAAGUGAUGAUUGAGAGGAAUUAUUUUUGUAUCAGUCUAUACAUUGCUUUUUUGGAAAUUCUUGCAUAUUAUAGCUUUAAAUGUUUUGAGUAAAUGGUUUAAAUACCAUUUGAAGAUAAAUUAUGAUUAGGACUACUCAUCCUUCAGCAUUAUCAUGAGGCCAAUAUUACAAGGAAAUAAUGCCAGCAAGACAAUAUUACCUU